GCGUAGGAAAUUUGAGAGGAGCUGUCCUUAGUACGAGAGGACCGGGAUGGACCAACCUCUGGUGCACCAGUUGUCACGCCAGUGGCACAGCUGGGUAGCUAUGUUGGGACUGGAUAAACGCUGAAAGCAUCUAAGCGUGAAGCCAACCUCAAGAUGAGAUUUCCCAUAGCGUAAGCUAGUAAGACUCCUGGAAGAACACCAGGUUGAUAGGUCAGAGAUGUAAGCAUGGCAACAUGUUAAGUUGACUGAUACUAAUAAGUCGAGGGCUUGACCAAAUAA
rnacentral:rRNA from 1 species